GUGGGGAAUUUUGGACAAUGGGCGCAAGCCUGAUCCAGCAAUGCCGCGUGCAGGAAGAAGGCCUUCGGGUUGUAAACUGCUUUUGUACGGAACGAAACGGUCCUGGCUAAUAUCCGGGGCUAAUGACGGUACCGUAAGAAUAAGCACCGGCUAACUACGUGCCAGCAGCCGCGGUAAUACGUAGGGUGCGAGCGUUAAUCGGAAUUACUGGGCGUAAAGCGUGCGCAGGCGGUGCUGUAAGACAGGCGUGAAAUCCCCGGGCUCAAGCUGGGCAUUGCGCUUGUGACUGCAGUGCUGGAGUGCGGCAGAGGGGGAUGGAAUUCCGCGUGUAGCAGUGAAAUGCGUAGAUAUGCGGAGGAACACCGAUGGCGAAGGCAAUCCCCUGGGCCUGCACUGACGCUCAUGCACGAAAGCGUGGGGAGCAAACAGGAUUAGAUACCCCUGUAGUCC
rnacentral:rRNA from 1 species